rnacentral:rRNA from 1 species
UUCCAGACUCCUACGGGAGGCAGCAGUGGGGAAUAUUGCACAAUGGGGGGAACCCUGAUGCAGCGACGCCGCGUGAGUGAAGAAGUAUUUCGGUAUGUAAAGCUCUAUCAGCAGGGAAGAAAAUGACGGUACCUGACUAAGAAGCCCCGGCUAACUACGUGCCAGCAGCCGCGGUAAUACGUAGGGGGCAAGCGUUAUCCGGAUUUACUGGGUGUAAAGGGAGCGUAGACGGCGAUACAAGUCUGAAGUGAAAGCCCGGGGCUCAACCCCGGGACUGCUUUGGAAACUGUGUUGCUGGAGUGCUGGAGGGGCAAGCGGAAUUUCUAGUGUAGCGGUGAAAUGCGUAGAUAUUAGGAGGAACACCGGCGGCGAAGGCGGCCUGCUGGACUGAAACUGACGUUGAGGCUCGAAGGCGUGGGGAGCAAACAGGAUUAGAUACCCGGGUAC